rnacentral:rRNA from 1 species
GACGAACGCUGGCGGCGUGCUUAACACAUGCAAGUCGAACGGAAAGGCCUGCUUUCCCUUGUGGAUUGCGGGUGCUCGCGUGGCGAACGGGUGAGUAACACGUGAGUGAUCUGCCCCCAACUUGGGUAUAAGCCUGGGAAACUGGGUCUAAUUCCCGAUAGGACUGCAGGGUGGUGCCUGUGGUGGAAAACGAUUUUCUAGUGGUUGGGGAUGAGCUCGCGGCCUAUCAGCUUGUUGGUGGGGUAAUGGCCUACCAAGGCGGCGACGGGUAGCCGGCCUGAGAGGGUGGACGGCCACAUUGGGACUGAGAUACGGCCCAGACUCCUACGGGAGGCAGCAGUGGGGAAUAUGACACAAUGGGCGGAAGCCUGAUGCAGCGACGCCGCGUGGGGGAUGACGGCCUUCGGGUUGUAAACUCCUUUCGACCGCGAGGAAGCCACCUGGUUGGAAGGGUGGUGACGGUAGUGGUAGAAGAAGCACCGGCUAACUACGUG